rnacentral:rRNA from 1 species
CAAUGGGCGCAAGCCUGAUGCAGCGACGCCGCGUGAGGGAUGACGGCCUUCGGGUUGUAAACCUCUUUCAGCACAGACGAAGCGCAAGUGACGGUAUGUGCAGAAGAAGGACCGGCCAACUACGUGCCAGCAGCCGCGGUAAUACGUAGGGUCCGAGCGUUGUCCGGAAUUACUGGGCGUAAAGAGCUCGUAGGUGGUUUGUCGCGUUGUUCGUGAAAACUCACAGCUUAACUGUGGGCGUGCGGGCGAUACGGGCAGACUGGAGUACUGCAGGGGAGACUGGAAUUCCUGGUGUAGCGGUGGAAUGCGCAGAUAUCAGGAGGAACACCGGUGGCGAAGGCGGGUCUCUGGGCAGUAACUGACGCUGAGGAGCGAAAGCGUGGGGAGCGAACAGGAUUAGAUACCCUGGUAGUCCACGCCGUAAACGGUGGGUACUAGGUGUGGGUUUCCUUCCUUGGGAUCCGUGCCGUAGCUAACGCAUUAAGUACCCCGCCUGG